rnacentral:rRNA from 1 species
CCUACGGGCGGCAGCAGUGGGGAAUAUUGGACAAUGGGGGCAACCCUGAUCCAGCCAUGCCGCGUGUGUGAAGAAGGCCCUCGGGUUGUAAAGCACUUUCAGUGAGGAAGAACGCCUGGUGGUUAAUACCCAUCAGGAAAGACAUCACUCACAGAAGAAGCACCGGCUAACUCCGUGCCAGCAGCCGCGGUAAUACGGAGGGUGCGAGCGUUAAUCGGAAUUACUGGGCGUAAAGCGCGCGUAGGUGGCUUGAUAAGCCGGUUGUGAAAGCCCCGGGCUCAACCUGGGAACGGCAUCCGGAACUGUCAAGCUAGAGUGCAGGAGAGGAAGGUAGAAUUCCCGGUGGAGCGGUGAAAUGCGUAGAGAUCGGGAGGAAUACCAGUGGCGAAGGCGGCCUUCUGGACUGACACUGACACUGAGGUGCGAAAGCGUGGGUAGCAAACAGGAUUAGAUACCCUGGUAGUC